CACGUAGGGGGCGAGCGUUGUCCGGAUUUAUUGGGCGUAAAGAGCUCGUAGGCGGACCUGCAAGUCGGGGGUGAAAGCCCGAGGCUCAACCUCGGAACUGCCUUCGAUACUGCGGGUCUCGAGUCCGGGAGAGGUGAGUGGAAUUCCUAGUGUAGAGGUGAAAUUCGUAGAUAUUAGGAAGAACACCAGUGGCGAAGGCGGCUCACUGGCCCGGUACUGACGGCUGAGGUGCG
rnacentral:rRNA from 1 species